CCUACGGGAGGCAGCAGUGGGGAAUAUUGCACAAUGGGGGAAACCCUGAUGCAGCGACGCCGCGUGCGUGAAGAAGUAAUUCGUUAUGUAAAGCUCUAUCAGUAGGGAAGAAAAUGACGGUACCUGAGUAAGAAGCCCCGGCUAACUCCGAUCCAGAAGCCGCGGUAAUACGUAGGGGGCAAGCGUUAUCCGGAUUUACUGGGUGGAAAGGGAGCGUAGACGGCAAUGCAAGUCUGGAGUGAAAGGCGGGGGCUCAACCCCCGGACUGCUCUGGAAACUGUACGGCUGGAGUGCAGGUGAGGUAAGUGGAAUUCCUGGUGUAGCGGUGAAAUGCGUAGAUAUUAGGAGGAACACCAGUGGCGAAGGCAGCUUACUGGACUGUAACUGACGUUGAGGCUCGAAAGCGUGGGGAGCAAACAGGAUUAGAUACCCUAGUAGUC
rnacentral:rRNA from 1 species